rnacentral:rRNA from 1 species
UACGGGGGGGGCAGGCGUUGUUCGGAAUUACUGGGCGUAAAGGGCUCGUAGGCGGCCAACUAAGUCAGACGUGAAAUCCCUCGGCUUAACCGGGGAACUGCGUCUGAUACUGGUUGGCUUGAAUCCGGGAGAGGGAUGUGGAAUUCCAGGUGUAGCGGUGAAAUGCGUAGAUAUCUGGAGGAACACCGGUGGCGAAGGCGGCAUCCUGGACCGGUAUUGACGCUGAGGAGCGAAAGCCAGGGGAGCAAACGGG